AAGAUCGGCCGUAGACGGGUGCCUUGCCAACCCGGUCAGAUCCGGAAGGAAGCAGCCGCAGUGAGUUUCACUCGGGUUAUGUGUCCGGUCUUCCA
rfam:Gluconacetobacter hansenii ATCC 23769 chromosome, whole genome shotgun sequence.